rnacentral:rRNA from 1 species
GUCGAGGGGUAUAGGUUUUCGGACCUAGAGACCGGCGCACGGGUGCGUAACGCGUAUGCAAUCUACCUUUUACAGAGGGAUAGCCCAGAGAAAUUUGGAUUAAUACCUCAUAGUAUUAUGACUCGGCAUCGAGAUAUAAUUAAAGUCACAACGGUAAAAGAUGAGCAUGCGUCCCAUUAGCUUGUUGGUAAGGUAACGGCUUACCAAGGCAACGAUGGGUAGGGGUCCUGAGAGGGAGAUCCCCCACACUGGUACUGAGACACGGACCAGACUCCUACGGGAGGCAGCAGUGAGGAAUAUUGGUCAAUGGGCGCAAGCCUGAACCAGCCAUGCCGCGUGCAGGAUGACGGUCCUAUGGAUUGUAAACUGCUUUUGUACAGGAAGAAACAGUUCUACGUGUAGAACCUUGACGGUACUGUAAGAAUAAGGAUCGGCUAACUCCGUGCCAGCAGCCGCGGUAAUACGGAGGAUCCAAGCGUUAUCCGGAAUCAUUGGGUUUAAAGGGUCCGUAGGCGGUUUUGUAAGUCAGUGGUGAAAGCCCAUCGCUCAACGGUGGAACGGCCAUUGAUACUGCAAGACUUGAAUUAUUGGGAAGUAACUAGAAUAUGUAGUGUAGCGGUGAAAUGCUUAGAGAUUACAUGGAAUACCAAUUGCGAAGGCAGGUUACUACCAAUAUAUUGACGCUGAUGGACGAAAGCGUGGGGAGCGAACAGGAUUAGAUACCCUGGUAGUCCACGCCGUAAACGAUGGAUACUAGCUGUU